rnacentral:lncRNA from 1 species
AACAAUUGCAGAAAAACAAGUUCAGAAUUCAAUUUGUAUGUAAUGUGAUCAAAGCCUGAAAAUAAAAAUAAUAUAGAAUGACUCAUUGAAGGAAUUUAUUUAUAUCGGUAGCCCUUGUUCUUAUCCACUUCAUUAAGAAUUACCAAAUGUUAGAUAACUAAAAAUCAACAUGCUGUGACAGGGGUAAACACAUCUCAGUACUAUUUUUCUUUAAAAAGUAUUGUUUGAUUAUGAAUAGUUGUCCAUAAAAAAAUAUGCAUUAAAUCAAAGAUGAUUGGAAGAACAAUCAGUAAAAAUCCAAACACCUCAUCAUUACUAUAAAAACAGCAAACUCCAAUAACAAUACCAUCAAGAACCAAAUAAAACAGCAAUAUCAAGAAACCAAAGCAUCCAAGGGAAAAAGAUUGAGAGAAUACAAGAACUUGAAUACCAAAUAAGAGGGAGAGAACUAGAAGGAUGUGUGUUCAUCUGCAACACCAAGGAAAAAAAGAUUGAGAAUACAACAACUUGAAUAACAAUAAUAGAGUGAUAGAACUAAAAGGAAUCAUGUUUUCGUCAGCAGCACCAAAAAAGCAAGAAUAACAAAUCAACAAACAUAUGCCUUUCAGGAUUUAGAGAAUACUUGAAGUAAAAGAAUUUACUAGAGAUCGCCAAAUAAAAACUGAGGCUCUAUGUAACAAAGGACAAUAUUUGCCAAACCACACUGCAGAUAAGUAAGUUCACAAAUCAACUCAUGUCUUACAAAUAGAACCCAAAUAUAAAAAUAGUGAAGGAUGAAUCAUUGAAAAUAUUUGAUUUAUACAAACUCUCCUUUCUUCUCUCUCCUCUCUUCUCCAUUGCAUCAAGUACAUCAAAACAUUCUAGACAUUCAAACUUCACUCUGCAAAACAGACACAUGUCUCAUUUAUCCAAGAAAGAGGUGGACAUAUAUAAUAUAUAACCAUAAAUACUAAAAUUCUCCUAAAACAUAAACUCAUAAUUCUAAACACACCAAUCAAUACUGCCAUAUUGUACAUCAUAGGACACCCCAAAACAAGUACAUUCAAGAGAGAGAAAAUGACUCAUUAAUCCAAAGGGCUUAAACUAAAGCAUAUCCUUCAUAACGUCCGACCACAACUUUUAAAUACCACGGUACAUUCGUAGCUUCAUGGCUUAUGCUAAAGCAUCUCCUUCAUAAUGUCGACCUCAACUUUAAAUACCACAGUACAUUCAUAGCUUCUCUCGCCUGUAAAACAAAAAGCAAAAUGUCCUUGAUAAAUCUAUCACAGCUUCCACAAUAUAUAUCCUCCCAUGACACCCAAAAGGAACUCAUGAAGAAAACAAGUAAACUAGACCUUGAAUAAAGAAAUCAUGAAGACUUAAAGAAUUUAUGGUAAAGUAGAGAUCACCAGAUGAACCACACCAAUUGCAGUUUCUGUGUUAUAUGCAGAUAAGAAAUCCCAUGUUUUAUCCCAAAACGGCAGAAUGGACAGUAUGUGAACCUAUUAAGCCUACCAUGGGUUCCAAAUGCAAACUCAAAGGAUCUGACAAGUAGAGGCUAAGUAUCAAAAUAAAACAAAAACUGAAAUGUAAAGUAAAGGGUCUUGGUAGAUAUGACCAAAUUAAAGCAUAGCAACAAUAAAGAGUAUGCAACACAACCUACAAAAGAACAAAUUCACCAUCCUAUUUGCAAGGACAUGUACCCAUAUGAAAUGACACAGUUUCAGCCUCCUCCUAAUACAAAGGAGUCCUUGGGCCACUGUAAGGAAGAGGGUAUCUUCUUAGAAGUAUCAUAAUCAUAAAUCAAAAAUAGCAAUAAAAACACAACAGCAAAAGAAGAAUAUAGAAAAACCUCUCCCAACAAAGUUAAGUUGUCCCUGAACAAAUCAUCAGAAUAAACCCUGAACAAAUCAUCAGAAUAAAUAGCACACAUACGGCAUCACCAAGUUGUCUAAAAUCCUAUAUGAAAAGGCACAGACUUCUUCCAAAAUGAAGCCUAUAAUAGUAUUCAGGUUCCAGAUGAAGGAACAGAAAAGCUUCAACAAUAGAAGAAACACAAAAGUUUCAAACACCAACUUGGUGAAGAAACAGCAGUUCGGGAACAGAUACAUAUACAUAUAAGAAAAAACUUAUAUCCAAACGAUGAAUGAGAAAGUAUGAUAAUCUCAAUAGACACAAAUGGAUAACAUGCAUACGGAAAUGUUCAUAUCUAAAUUCAAAUCCCUAAAUCAAGACUAGAAGCCCUUAAAUAUAUAUUGUUCUAAGUUUCAUUUUUGCUUCACAAGCAGAGUAAUGCAGUCCGAUACCUCCAAUUUUCUCUCAAAACUUCCAAACAGGAAAAUGGUGCAGUGAGACUAGGUGCAGUUAGACUAGAAAAGAAUGGUACUUCUGUGGUACACCAAACUCAUGCAAUACAUACAACUACAACAACCUAAUUGUUUCUCACUACGUGGUCUCUGCUACAUAGAUCAAACUCUAUCAUAAUAUUCUAUCCAAGACCAUUGUUUUUAACACACACAUGUACAUCAAUAUUUCACACUGAUAUUUCCUGUGACAUUUAGUGGUCCACAAGAAAAAAAAGUUAAUAGUAGCAUGAUUCUCCAAACAACGCUAAUCAGUAGAUCAAUGUUACAAAAGGAGUCUACCAAAGUUGUCCUAAUUUAUCCAGAAUUAGAAAAAAAAGUGCACUGUCAAAUUAAAGUUUGAAAACCAAAAUGUCAGAGAAAAGAAUUAUAUAUAUGGUAAGAAAACUCUAAGGCUUUAUAGUUAUAAGUUAUAACCACCCCCUCACUGUACUCAAUAAACCUAUCCCUCACGUGUAACACCCAAGUGAAAAUCAUAAAGGAAUAAAUAAACUAGGCAAUAAAACUAUGCAGAGAAUUAAUGAAUUCAAAAUAAUCCACAAUCCAAGAGUUCAUCAAAAUAAACCUAAUUGCUUUAUGUUGCACAACAAUAUUUUUAAAAAUAUUGCACAAUCCAACAAAUCAUCGAGCAAAAUGUUCACGACAAUCAUCUAGGAAUAUUCCAUAUGACGUCUACAAGAAACUUAUGAAGAAACCCAAAAAAAUAAGAUCGUAAUAUAUACAAAGAAACAUGACAAAUUAAUAGUCAUAGUAGAGAUCACCCGAUGAAGUACAACAACAACAAUAACUAAUUGCAGCCUCUUGUGUCAUUUAAGCUCCCCUUUUGCCAAGUUCUUGCACCAGUUGCAGAUUCUGUGAGGGAUACCCAUAUGGGAGAGGUGAUUUUUAGUUUCAUAACCUCUCUCCCCAGAAACACCAAGCAGAAUGUCUACGACACCUACAUGGAACUCGCAAAGAAAUCGAGAAAACAAGACCUUAAUAUAUACAAAGAAACAUGAAAAAUUAAUAAUAGUCAUAGUAGAGAUCACCGGAUGAAAGUACAGCAACAACCAAUUUCAGACUCUUGUGCUCAAUUAGGCUCCCCUUAUGCCAUCCAAGUUCUUGCACCAAUUGCAGAUUCGCUGAGGGAUACCCAUAUGGGAGAGAAGAUUUUUAAUUUCACCUUAUAUAUCACAUAUGACAAGAAUAAAAAUGAAAAAAGAUAAAAGAAAUUAUAACAAAGGAAAUGGCAAAUCAACAAAAUUAAAAAAUUCCUUAUCCUCGGGAUAGAGAUGUUCCCUAAAAUCCGGUAUGGUUUCUUGUAUGCCUCCAACUAAAACAUGACACACCAUUAGAGGACAAAUAUCCCAAAUACCAAAACAAAUAGACCAUAUGUGACCAAAAAAUAGAAUGUUCUUUCCCAAAGCUAUAGACAGAAAGAAUGUGAACCUUGACUGCAAAUAUAAUCAGGUUCCAUAGGUUAUCUCCUGUGUAAUAUCCAAACACAAGAGACUAAGGACCUGACAAAAGUAGAUGUUGCGUAUCAAAAUCAAACAAAGAUCGAAAUGAGAAGAGUAUUGAUUUUGUGUAGCUUAAUCGAGAUCGCCAGAUAAAAAUCAUCUAAGCACAUAUUCUAGUCAUAGUAAAGAUCACCAGAUAAAAAUACAAUAACAACUAAUUGCAAGUUCUUGUGCUCAAUUAGACUCCCACUUAUGCCAUGUUCUUGCACUAAGAAUUAAUAUAUAGGAUGCAGAGUCAAGAUAGACGGCUAAGAUAACAUGAUUACGGUAAUUAAAAAGACACCUCAUAAGAACAUGAGAUAACAAAGAUAGUUUCUAGCUGUUACAUAGCAAAGUGUGUACCAUGCUCGAGGCAGUGUAAAUAAAAAUGAAGAUAGAAGUCCCUCAGUACGAGUUAAGCAAAGAGAUAUUCUAGAAUCUCGAGUGUUCUUAGUUAAUGCACGUCGAUACAUUUACAUGACACUACAUUUACAAUUUUCAAGAGAGAAAAUUCAAAGAAUUAACCGAAGCACAAAGGAUACAUAACAGAGUUCAAGCCGGUGUUUGUUAGGAACUAAGAAAUAUGUGGUGUUCAACCAAGCACUUGGGCUUGAGUAAUAAACAAGCUCCUGCUAAGGAACGAAAGUCCAAGAAAUACUGAGUUCGAUUCCUGGUGAGAACAAUGCUUGGCCAAUGUCAUGACCUCUCAGCACGAACUCUGGAUUCAAUUUUAUGUACAUCACCAAAUAAAUGAAGGGUAUAGAAAAGCAUCCCCAUGUCCUUCAAAGCGACCAAAAGUCUAAAAUAUAUGUUUUUCCCAAUACUAUGCAGGCCCACUCAAACCAUCAUAGAAUUAUCUAUAAAAACAAUUUCUAUAAUCCAAAACAAAGACAUAUAUAAGUUAGAAAAAAAUCAUGUAUAACCUCUACCAAAACUCACAAUACACCAGACCAUGCAACAUUCUCUAUCGAAAUCGACAACUAAAACACUACAAUAAAAUAUUAUUCAAAAUUCAAAAUUUAUAUUCCUCUCCAAAACAAUAGGUCACUCAUCUAUGAUAUCUGGUAGACGGCUAGAAAAAAUUUCAGUCUCAAACAUAAUACAUAACACUUAGACACAUAGAAGAAGACAACAACUGAUAUUGAAUGGGUUGCCGUUUCUUACAUGAAACUAGAAGUGUAAUUCUCCAAACCAAGUGGCAAAUCAGAGGAACAAAGUGAUUACACCAAGCCAUUCUCCAUCUACAGAAAAGCAUGCUGCUUAUUAUGUUGAGAAAAUAGAACCUUACACCACUGUGACAGAGAUGUCAAUAAAAAAAAGGGAAAAGGGCCAAGUGUAAUUUUGCAAAUUAAGUGGCAUGUCAGAAGAACGAAGUGAUUCCACCAAGUUAUUCUUCCUUACACGACUAUGACAGAGAUGUCAUUAAAAAAAAGGAGGAAAAGGGAAAUGUAAUUUUGCAAACCAAGAAAUGAUUCCACAGUUAUUCUUCCUGUCUAGAAGAGUAAAGUAACUAAGAAUGCACAUAAAUAAAAUAGGCUCUUCAGAAUCAAUUAAACUUAAAAAACAAAAAACAGAGGAUAAAACAUAGAAAGAUGAAAACCAACAGAAUAGAAAAGCGUCGAGCCUCCCGAAUUCCUCAUCUUUAGUACAAUCCUGAUACAAAAACACAAACUCCAAGAUUACCAGGACAAACCAUCAAAGGACAAAUAUCCCCAAUCCCAAAACAAAUAUUUAAAAUAGUGACGGGUUUUAUCCCAAGGUUGAAUGGACAAAAUGUGGUAACCUCUACUUGCCACAGGCCAAAGCACACCAUAAAUCAAGUAAACUUAAUAGCAUAAUUCUACUGUGACAAAUGAGUUAUAGGAAAAUAACCAAUUAAACUUAAUAGCAUAAUUCUACUGUGACAAAUGAGUCAUAGAAAAAUAACCAAGAAGAAAGAAAGAAUAAUAGCAUAAUUCUUUAAACCACCAAGUCGCAUAACAGCAUAACAAAGUGAGGCCCACCAAGCUGCCCCAACUUCAUGCAGUACAUCAAAACCCAUGUAACGCUUACUAUGUCAAUACAUGAUAGAUAUACAAUAAAUUGUGCUGAGACAAGCUUGUAGAAAAAGAACCAAGAAGAAAGAAAGAAAGAAUAAUCGCAUAAUUUUUCAAACCACCAAGUCGCAGAUCAGCAUAACAAAGAGAGGCCCAACAAGCUGCCCCAACUUCUCCGGAAUUACGGAACUUAUUCCCUGUCAGAAUACAGAUCAAAAACCCAAAUGUAUAACUAACAUUUGUAAAAGAGAAGUAAUACUGCUGGUAAGAAUCCCUAAAGCUGAACUUUUCAAUUAAACCUCAAUAGAAUUUUCUCAACGGAAACAGCCAAGUGCAAAUCAUUAAGGAGUAAAUCAAGAAUCUGGUUAAAUUACGUCAUUACACUCUAAUAGGACAUCUAUUAUUCAAAUGUACAUUCAAGGGGAAAAAAUGACUGGUUAAAUGCAAAGGUUAAAAUUCCAUGAUACAUUCAUAGCCUCUCUCCAACGAAUCAUCGAGCAAAAUGUCCACGACAAUCAUGUAAGAAUAUUCCAUAUGACGUCUACAGGAAACUUAUGAAGAAACCCCAAAAAAAUAAGAUCUUAACAUAUAUACAAAGAAACAUGACAAAUUAAUAGUCAUAGAAGAGAUCACCCGAUGAAAGUACAACAACAACAAUGCAGCCUCUUGUGUCAUUUAGGCUCCCCUUUUGCCAAGUUCUUACACCAGUUGCAGAUUCUGUGAGGGAUACCCAUAUGGGAGAGAAGAUUUUUAGUUUCAUAACCUCUCUCCCAUGAAACAUCAAGCAGAAUGUCUCCACGAAAGUCACGACAAUCAUCUAAGCACAUAUUCCAUGCGACGCCUACAUGGAACUCGCAAAGAAAUCG